CUCGCUUUCUCUCUCUCUCUCUUCUCAU
rnacentral:sRNA from 1 species